UCGGGAAUUUUGCACAAUGGGCGAAAGCCUGAUGCAGCAACGCCGCGUGAGGGAUGAAGGCCUUCGGGUUGUAAACCUCUUUUCCUGGGGACGAUGAUGACGGUACCCGGGGAAUAAGCCACGGCUAACUACGUGCCAGCAGCCGCGGUAAUACGUAGGUGGCGAGCGUUGUCCGGAUUUACUGGGCGUAAAGAGCGCGCAGGCGGUCGGUCAAGUCGAAUGUGAAAGCCCCCGGCUCAACUGGGGAGUGUCAUUCGAUACUGGUCGACUCGAAGGCGGGAGAGGGAAGCGGAAUUCCCGGUGUAGUGGUGAAAUGCGUAGAUAUCGGGAGGAACACCAGUGGCGAAGGCGGCUUUCUGGCCCGUUCUUGACGCUGAGGCGCGAAAGCCAGGGGAGCAAACGGG
rnacentral:rRNA from 1 species